rnacentral:tRNA from 1 species
AGUCUUUUAGUUUAUUUUUUUGAAUUUUUUAUUUACGAUAAAUAGGUUUUUGGACUU